rnacentral:rRNA from 1 species
CCUACGGGUGGCAGCAGUGGGGAAUAUUGCACAAUGGGGGAAACCCUGAUGCAGCGACGCCGCGUGAGUGAAGAAGUAAUUCGGUAUGUAAAGCUCUAACAGCAGGGAAGAAAAUGACGGUACCUGAGGAAGAAGCCCCGGCGAACUACGUGCCAGCAGCCGCGGUACUCCGGAGGGGGCAAGCGUUAUCCGGAUUUACUGGGGGGAAAGGGAGCGUAGACGGGAGUGCAAGUCUGGAGGGAAAGGCGGGGGCUCACCCCCCGGACUGCUCUGGAAACUGUACGGCUGGGGGGCAGGCGGGGUAAGUGGACUUCCUUGUGUAUCUGUGACCUGCGUAGAUUUUAG